UGUAACAAACUGCAUUUUAACUUCAUAUCUAGAAGAAGCAGUAAGAUCUAGGGAGGGGGUCAUGUGAGAACUGUUAGGGGUAAUACAAUGACGAACACUGGAGGAGAAACGUGUGUGGCAACGGAAAGUUUCUGAGGGAGAAAACCAAGGGUUGUCAUCCACAGUGGACAGCAAACAGUCAGGGAGGGCGGGAGGUGGGCCCACCACUGGGAAAGAGCAGAGCCCACGCUGUGGGGGGGAAGGCAGACCGAUUGGGGACCUGGCCUAGAUGAUAAAGGAACCCUCCUGCGGGAACUAAGAGCUCACCAAAGAAAUGAGGAGCCCACAGGCCCCAAGGGAAUGGGAAAAGAUGUUUGUCUUCUCCUGAAGCCCUGUCACGAAAGUUCCGCGAGCCUCCAACAGAAAGAACACAGCGGACUGUUUAAAGGUUAUUUUAUUAAAUAUCUUCAAGGUUUCAUUGUAACAAAGCUAUGAAGGGACUACCAACAUUCAGAACAAACACUAAUUUUUAAAUUAUUUCUAAGUCAUCAUGCAAAAGUUCUGCAUCAAAUGCCUUCCAAUUCCUGUUUAAAAGGUGUUUUUUUUUUUUUAAUAGUCUAUUAAUAGUCUAUAGAUGCUGACAUUAGCCCCAGAAGUGGAGUAAGAAUGCUAAGGAGUGGGGCUGGAGCAGCCGUAUGAAGCUAUGGGUCUCAAUGAGCUCUAAGACCAAUUGUUGUCUUCAA